CCUACGGGAGGCAGCAGUGGGGGAUAUUGGACAAUGGGGGAAACCCUGAUCCAGCGACGCCGCGUGAGUGAAGAAGUAUUUCGGUAUGUAAAGCUCUAUCAGCAGGGAAGAAAGAAAUGACGGUACCUGAGUAAGAAGCCCCGGCUAACUACGUGCCAGCAGCCGCGGUAAUACGGAGGGAGCGAGCGUGGUCCGGAAUUACUGGGUGGAAAGGGAGCGUAGGCGGGACGGCAAGUCAGAGGGGAAAACUGAGGGCUCAACUUUCAGACUUCAUUUGAAACUGCUGUUCUUGAGUGAAGUAGAGGUAAGCGGAAUUCCUAGUGUAGCGGUGCCAUGCGUAGAUAUUAGGAGGAACCUCGGUGGCGAAGGCGGCUUACUGGGCUUUUACUGACGCUGAGGCUCGACAGCGUGGGGAGCAAACAGGAUUAGAUACCCCGGUAGUC
rnacentral:rRNA from 1 species